AAUGACUCUCGGCAACGGAUAUCUCGGCUCUCGCAUCGAUGAAGAACGUAGCGAAAUGCGAUACUUGGUGUGAAUUGCAGAAUCCCGUGAACCAUCGAGUCUUUGAACGCAAGUUGCGCCCGAAGCCAAUAGGCCAAGGGCACGUCUGGCUGGGUGUCACACAAAG
rnacentral:rRNA from 1 species